UGGGGAAUUUUGGACAAUGGGCGAAAGCCUGAUCCAGCAAUGCCGCGUGUGUGAAGAAGGCCUUCGGGUUGUAAAGCACUUUUGUCCGGAAAGAAAUCCUUGGCUCUAAUACAGUCGGGGGAUGACGGUACCGGAAGAAUAAGCACCGGCUAACUACGUGCCAGCAGCCGCGGUAAUACGUAGGGUGCAAGCGUUAAUCGGAAUUACUGGGCGUAAAGCGUGCGCAGGCGGUUUGCUAAGACCGAUGUGAAAUCCCCGGGCUCAACCUGGGAACUGCAUUGGUGACUGGCAGGCUAGAGUAUGGCAGAGGGGGGUAGAAUUCCACGUGUAGCAGUGAAAUGCGUAGAGAUGUGGAGGAAUACCGAUGGCGAAGGCAGCCCCCUGGGCCAAUACUGACGCUCAUGCACGAAAGCGUGGGGAGCAAACAGGAUUAGAUACCCUGGUAGUCCACGCCCUAAACGAUGUCAACUAGUUGUUGGGGACUUCAUUUCCUUAGUAACGUAGCUAACGCGUGAAGUUGACCGCCUGGGGAGUACGGUCGCAAGAUUAAAACUUAAAGGAAUUGAC
rnacentral:rRNA from 1 species